rnacentral:tRNA from 1 species
GGCUAGUUGGUUCAGUUGGUUACAACAUGGUGCUAAUAAUGCCAAGGUUGUGGGUUCAAAUCCUGUGUAGGCUG